UACGAAGGGGGGCUAGCGUUGCUCGGAAUCACUGGGCGUAAAGCGCACGUAGGCGGCUUCUUAAGUCAGGGGUGAAAUCCUGGAGCUCAACUCCAGAACUGCCUUUGAUACUGAGGAGCUUGAGUCCGGGAGAGGUGAGUGGAACUGCGAGUGUAGAGGUGAAAUCGUAGAUAUUCGCAAGAACACCAGUGGCGAAGGCGGCUCACUGGCCCGGUACUGACGCUGAGGUGCGAAAAGCGUGGGGGAGCAAACAGG
rnacentral:rRNA from 1 species